AACGCACGAGACCUGCGGACCUGCGGAAGGAUCAUUACCGAGUUAGGGUCUUUUGGCCCGACCUCCAACCCUUUGUUUAUUAUACCAUGUCGCUUUGGUGGGCCUGCCUUUCGGGGCUGCCGGGGGCAUCACUGCCCCUGACUCGUGCCUGCCAGGAGCCUUCUUAAAUUCAGUGUUCAACGGUGCUGUCUGAGUCCCAGUAUCAAAAUAUCAAAAACUUUCAACAAUGGAUCUCUAGAU
rnacentral:misc_RNA from 1 species